rnacentral:rRNA from 1 species
AGCGAACGCUGGCGGCAGGCCUAACACAUGCAAGUCGAACGAAGUCUUCGGACUUAGUGGCGGACGGGUGAGUAACACGUGGGAACGUGCCCUUUGGUACGGAAUAACUCAGGGAAACUUGAGCUAAUACCGUAUGUGCCCUUCGGGGGAAAGAUUUAUCGCCAUUGGAGCGGCCCGCGUCUGAUUAGCUAGUUGGUGAGGUAAAGGUUCACCAAGGCGACGGUCAGUAGCUGGUCUGAGAGGAUGAUCAGCCACAUUGGGACUGAGACACGGCACAAACUCCUACGGGAGGCAGCAGUGGGGAAUCUUGCGCAAUGGGCGAAAGCCUGACGCAGCCAUGCCGCGUGAAUGAUGAAGGUCUUAGGAUUGUAAAAUUCUUUCACCGGGGACGAUAAUGACGGUACCCGGAGAAGAAGUCCCGGCUAACUUCGUGCCAGCCGCCGCAGUAAGAC